UCACAUGUGAGGAUGAAAGUGUGGAUCAACUCCUGUAGUAGAUAUCUUUCAUUUGCAGCCAAGUUUAGUUAUGGUUAUAGGAUGGAAACUUUGUAUUAUUUUGCCAUCUUCUUUCCUUUGUGAAACUAGCUGCAACAGUUAGGAGUUUAAAUUGAUGCGAGGAAGUAAUUAACACAAACUGCAUUCUUCUUAUUUAUUAUUCCCUCGGAACAGAUUUUGCAAUUCAUGAUGAGGUCGUAUUGACACAUACUCUUGGGAUUUCUAUGUAUCUUAUCUUAGUUUUGGGGAUUUUAACAUAAGCAUGGUAUGAUGCUCCAGAGUCGACGACAAGUGCUAUCAUCAUGAGGCCAGACAAGUCGUUGUGCCAAUCCAAUGAGUUUCCAACAAUGGAAAGUCAUCCGAAGAAUCAUGUCCCGGUGAGUAGUCCAGCUCCAGCAACAAGACCACAUCUGAUUUCCACCAAGAAGCUGGACCAGCGGCAUUGUACUCAGGUAAGCUCAUGAAAAUUCUUGCAAUCCAGACAUGGGAGAGUCAAAUUUAUACAGAUAGCUAACAUCAUCUUACUGUGGUUUAUAUGGUCCAUGUAAAUCUGGCACCGCACGGCUACACUUCCAACAAUUUUACUUGCUAACAAAAAUCAAGUAAAACUAAAAGAAUAGUUCUUUCUCCUGCUGAAAUAGGUUUGGAUGCACUGUGGUAUAUAUAUGUCAAGUUUAGCCGUAUGCAAUAAUGCAAUGCUUAUGGUUGAUAGUGCUACAGUUUUGCUUAGUGGGCAGGAAUAACUGCUCAGGCUUUCGUAACUUCUAUUUCUAUUACUGCAGCAUAAUUGUUUUUUACAUGGAGCUGGUUGUUAUUUCUUCUUUUUUGUCAGGAGUACUAUUUUUCUUCUUUUUGGUCAGGAGUACUAUUUCUUCUUUUUCUUCAGUAGUUAAGGGCGUAUUUCAGAGGGGAGCAUACGUAUUACUGUGGUUCCCUUGAGUUUCGUGUGCUGCAUUACCGUUAUAAGUUACCAGCAGCAAAGAAAGAGAGUCACGUACUAAUACAUGAUAAGGUAGUCUGCUCUUGCAGAUCAUCUGGUUGAUCAUUUUCCCAUACAAGUGUUACUAAACUCUACUAAGUUCUAUAAUGACACAAGAUUAACUUGUUACAGGACAAGUGCACUGAGGAAUAAGUAUGCAGAGAAGCUUUGAUUCAUCAUCAUCUACAUAUACUUAGAAUAUAACUCACAAGGUAUGAACAUAGUUACUGUUUUGUCGUGUCAAUGUAUCCGUGUUGGCUGACAAGCUAUCUUGGUAACAUUAUUAUGUCUCAUGGAUGGAAUAAGAAGAAGAAAUAUAUAUUCUGGGUGCAUGCAUCAUAUGAGUGGGUGGAAGCUAAUGUAUUCCAGUUUUUAUGAAAACGACAAGUUUUAUUAAAACUUAAGGAAUUUUCUGCAUGCAUUUUCAGAAAAGCAAAAGAAAAAUGAUUGACAAUCUAUUCUAUGCAAAACAACUCUUCCAUCAGAUGAAGAAUGGCAUGUUGGCUUCUUCGCGUCCGAACUUGAAGGGGUUAUCUAUUGCUAUACAGUGAACGGAACUACCAGUUUGCAUUAAGAUGGACUCACUUUCAGCGAUGAAUAUUCUGAAUGGGAGGGACAUGGAGAGGUCUGUGUAUGCUUCUUUGGUGGCGGAGAUCAAGCAUUUGAAGUCUCUUUGUAUGGCCCGUAUUACUCAUAUCAGCUGUUGUCAAAAUGUAGUUAGUGAUAUUUUAGCAAGUUUCGCAAAAACUGAAAGGAGAACUAUAGUCUGGCUCGGCUCCGCCCCCUCGAGGUCGUUGAUUUGUGUAAGGACGAGUGCAAGGUUGCUGCUUGAGUAAUACAAGUUUAUACCUUUUUUUGUGGGUGAAUACAAAUUUAUACCCGCAAAAAAAUCAUACUACAAAAAGGACUAAUCAGUUUAACAUUAUUAUUGAUAUUUAUUAAAAUUGGAUAUAAAAAUGGUGCAUAAUGGCACAUGAAGCAUGUUGUGUUUUUUCGCCCGGUGCAACGCACGGG
rnacentral:lncRNA from 1 species